rnacentral:rRNA from 1 species
CGGAGGGUGCGAGCGUUGUCCGGAUUUAUUGGGUUUAAAGGGUGCGUAGGCGGCCGUUUAAGUCCGGGUGAAGCCCGUUGCUCAACAACGGAACUGCCCUGGAUACUGGACGGCUUGAGUACAGACGAGGUUGGCGGAAUGGACUGAGUAGCGGUGAAAUGCAUAGAUACAGUCCAGAACCCCGAUUGCGAAGGCAGCUGACUAGGCUGUUACUGACGCUGAGGCACGAAAGCGUGGGGAGCGAACAGGAUU